GAGAGAAAAAGAAGGGGAAGAGAUGGAACCCAUUGUGAUUUUUCUCAUUCUAUUGAGCAUUCUUCCAGGCACCUUUUCCAGUCCCCAGCUGACCCAGUCAGGCCCAGUAAUGGUGAAGCCGGGAGGGUCCUUCAAACUGACCUGCACAGUCUCUGGGGUUCAAGUCAGUGAUCAUUACUGGAAUUGGAUCCGACAGCCUCCAGGAAAAGGCUUGGAGUGGCUGGGAUUCAUUCGAAGCACUGCAAGAGGAGGAACCACUCAAUACUAUCCGGCAUUCAGCAGCCGAAUGAGCAUCACCAGGGACACCUCCAGGAAUGAAGUCUACCUCCAGCUGAGCUCCCUGACAGCUGCAGACACUGCAACGUAUUUCUGUGCGAGAGAAGCACAGAGAGGCAAAGCAAUGGAGCAUCCAGGCAAAAACCACAUUCAGACUCCACCACCCCCACUCACAUUGCUGGGUCUUGGCCUCCAACAACCACAGUGCACAGAGAACCACAGUCUGGCUGGGUCUGAGAGUGUGGCUGACCCACAGCCACCUGCUGAGUCUGUGGGAUUAGUGGGAGUCGAGCCAGCAGAGUGCUGA